rnacentral:rRNA from 1 species
GUAGGUGGCAAGCGUUGUCCGGAUUUAUUGGGUUUAAAGGGUGCGUAGGCGGCCCUGUAAGUCAGUGGUGAAAUACUCCAGCUUAACUGGAGGGGUGCCAUUGAUACUGCAGGGCUUGAGUAAAGUUGAGGUUGGCGGAAUUGACGGUGUAGCGGUGAAAUGCUUAGAUAUCGUCAAGAACACCUAUUGCGAAGGCAGCUAACUAAGCUUUAACUGACGCUGAGGCACGAAAGUGUGGGGAUCAAACAGGAUUAGAUACCCUGGUAGUCCACACUGUAAACGUUGAUUACUCGCUGUUGGCAAUACACAGUCAGCGGCUAAGCGCAAGCGAUAAGUAAUCCACCUGGGGAGUACGCCGGCAACGGUGAA